UAAUUAGUAAAAGGGCUCCUUCACUAAGUAUCCUUUGGCAGUUCUCAUUCCCCCUUCAGAGUUUCUUGGGAAGUAUGGCAGUAUGGAGCACUCUUCUGCCUUGGAGAAGACAGUGCCAGGAGCACAAGUAUUUGGCAAGCUCAGGCCCAGAAAGGAGAAAAGUGGUGGAAAGGAGAAGAAAUUUCCACAAAAAUACAACCAGUAUAGAGGUUCAUAUGAGACUAUACAUUCUAUGAUCUACUUGCUAUCAGAGAUAAGAGGAUAUGCAAGGCAUGUUCAUGCCCUGUGGUCCCUGGGAAUCUGAAUGUCCUCCUGCAGCCAAAGAACAAAACAAAACAAACAAAAAACAAAAACGAACAAAGAAGCAAAAAAAAAAAAAAAAGAGAGAGAAGGGAAAAAAAGA